CACAUGGUGGUUAGUGAAAAGAAAAUUAUACGAAUUCUAGGUUUAAAAAUAUAAAAUUAAAAGAGUUAGCCCCAAAAGCCACAAACUCAGGGCUAAGCCCUGCCGCCAGGAAUAGCAGGCCAUAAAGAUAAAGAAAAGGAAUGCAAGAACCAGCUCAGGCUAUCGAGGACUGACCCAUAAACCAUCCAAAGACGUCCCCCCAGCUUACUCAGAGUCAUACUUUAACCAGAUGUCCUCCAGACCCUGAUAAGCCCCUACUUGUGCUUUUCAGCCAUUGUGUCCUGCAGAGAGCAUUCCAAGAAACCGGGCAGCCCAAGCCUAACCAGAGGUGUUUCAAAUACAAAUGCUCCAUCAGUUUUGACAAACGUUUAAAAAUAAUGAGGACCUGAAGACCCUACCCUUCUCCUGAUUUAGUAGCUCUGUUCCAGGAACCAGGGGGCCAUAAAACCUUCUGGCGUCCCCUUAUCUCCUGGAGCCAUAAAACAAUCUUGUAACUUGUGGUACAUUCCCCUUUGACAUCCCCCAUCCCCUGGUGCUCACAGCCUCUGCCUUUAAAUACUCUUUUUCCCAGCCUCUCGGGGCCGACACCUCUGUCUCCUGCGCGGGAUAUGUGUCGGCCCGGAGAUCUCUGUAAUAGGUCUCCGUAAUAAACCUCGCCUUUGCUUAUUACAUCCAAAAUGGUCUCUCUGUGUCUGGGGUCCGCGAUUUCCCAAGACUUGAGUAAGGGUCUCUCUGCGUGGGAUCUUUCAUAUUUAUGGGGGCUCGUCCGGGAUCUGUGCGACUACCCCAGACUCCGAAGACCCCUUGGAGGUGAGUUGGAUGUUUGUCUGAGUGUUUCUGUGUGAGCGGCGCCGCAAUUGUCAGUCUGUGUCUGUCUCUGUUUUGGUUCCACCGUGUGUGUAUAUAUGUGUGUCUUAGUACUGGUCAGUGUUAAGAGGGCAGAUGGGUAUUCCUGCCCUGUGGUAAGAGGGUGGAUGUGUAUUCCUGCCCUGUAGGAGAGUGGAUGUGUAUCCCCACUCAGUGCAGCUGCCUUUGUGGUCCGUGAGGACCCCCUGGCUGCGGAAGGGGGGACGCCCCGGGCCCGCAAGGCUGCAGCCCCUGGAAGACGUUCCACGGGCGGAGAACAGUCGGGAGAGCCCGGCUAUGGACAGUCAGGAGGACCUGACUCUGGUUUUCUGGAACAAAGGAGAUGGAAUGCUCCUUUUACCUAGGCGGGAGUGGACGAGGAAUCCCACUCCGUCAGAGGUCGAGUUCGGCUGCCUAUUUAAAUAUAGGCACGGACAAGUGUGCUUAGUCGUUAGGACAAGAGGACACUCUGGAAUCCUGUUGGGAGGUGGAAUCAGAUGGUCCAUCUCAUCCCAAAAGCAGCUAAGGUUAAGCUGCAGUUUGGGCCACGUACUGAAGGUACCAGGCAUCUGUGAAAGUUGGUUAUAAGAUGCUUUGUCUUGAUAUUGUUUGUCUGGCUUGUUUUCUGUGGUAUUGUCAAGUGUCUUUUUGGCUUUUGUUUCGUUUUUAAAUUUAGACUGACGACUGUGUUUAAAAUCUUGGACUGACGACUGUGUUUAAAAUCUUGGACUGAUGACUGUGUUUGAAAUCAUGAAACUGUUUGCUUUGUUCGUCAAAGAGUUUUACUUGGUCCUCUUGGUGCUUAAGUUAAGAGUUAAAAAUAAUUUGCUUGAAAAAAAUUGUUUUCUGCCAGGGAGUUUUGUCUUUCUCUCUUGAGCCUCCUCUCCAAGGAGAGAGGCGCCACCCUUUACUCCCCUUGAUCAGCCUAGCUGCUGUUAACAGUUGUGUAAACAGACAUUAACAAAAACCUUGAGGACAAAACUGCUCAUAAAUAAAAAAGUUCCCCAGAUUAGGCCUCCGGUAUGAAACAAGUAUAGUGAGUAAGAAACUUAAUUUUAUGGACCCCGCUCUAGUGGCAGUGUGUUGGUUGAUAGCCAACGUUAAUUUUUAAAACAUAGUGUUUUAUCUGUGCUUGUGCUCGCAGCACACAGUAGGGGGGAGCGAAAUUAGCUGCGGAGCUGCUGCAGCGAGCAUGGGGACUUCUCAAGUCUCACCCAAUUUUUCUGGCUCUUCAGGAGCUGUUUAAAAGGAAAAGGCUUAAGGUAAAAAGAAACACUAUAAAAAGAUUUCUUAGUAAAUUACUACACCUUGGUUUGCGAUCUCUGGGAAUCUCAUGGUGGACAGCUGAGAUAAGCUGGAAAAGGAUUUAAAUUUUGCUUAGAAACAAAGAAUCUUAAAGGUGGAGUUUCAGCCGGUAUGACACUUAGUGCAUAGCUGCCUAAAAGAUCAGAAAUGCUGUCAACAGGCUAUAAAAAAGGGACAGGCUGUGUUAAAAAUGCUACAUAAAGAAUAAUCUAAAAAGGCUGAGAGUGAGGUGGGAGAGGACUCUAAGAAAAACAAGAACAAGAAAGGAAUUUCUGCUUUUAGUGACCAGACCUUCAACUCUUGCUCACAGAAAGAGGGUGCUCAUUAAGAGAAGUUCUUUAAGGAGCCUGCCUUAUCUGCUGGCCCUAUUCCAAGAGAGGAGCCAGUCUCCAGCAUUAAAUUACUUUUCUCACUGGUCAUCAUUAGCAUGGAGAAUGCCUUUGAUCCUAUCCCCACAGCAGCCAGUUCCUGCCCCUGUGGUAGAAAUGUCCCAGGUUGGGGGGCAGAGAAGCCCCUAAAAUAGUUUCAAAGAAUCUACAACAAACUGUAAAGAACUUUGUUUUGUUUUGCCAGUUUGAAUUUAGAAUUCAGGCUUUGGCUGUGGCCGAGGUCAGGAUUAAUGUUUUCGUUUCCAUGGGCCCUUAGCCCACUGAGACAGUUUGGUAAAGGACUACUACUACAGUCCUGAUAUUCAGAGACAUGGAGAGAGCUAUAGUUUUUUUUUAUUAAAGGUUGGUACUAUAGUAUUAACAAUCUCUUUAUUAGAUAUAAGAGACAAGAAGCCCCAGGUGAACUGGUUACAAUUCUUUUGUCAGCUGCUUAGUAUCUAACACUCAGGUUCUAUCGUCUCUCCAUCCUUUUAUUAUUAGUUGUUACUGAAAGCCUAGUGCCAUUUAGAGGAUGGGUCUCUUGAGCGAUAAAACCACUGAGCUGACACUAAAGGAAAGUACUCCUUAAGGGAAAAUCUAAGUCCAGAGAGACAGCCGGUAGCAGAUAGGCUGCCCCUCUGCUCACUUUUCUGUUUCACAGACACAAGGUCUUUUUGUCCCAAGAAAGCCUCCUGGCUUAGCUGUGUGACUAAAUGCUAUUUGCCCUCUUCAGUGGACCUCUAUUCUCAAGAUUCCCUUGUUUUCUCACCAUCCCAUUUGAGAUGCUUGUUAGUAACUGUUACAGGUCUUCUUUACCACCGAGGAAAGACGGAAUCCUACUAGAGGCCAGAAAAAGUGUUCCAGAGAUGGAUAGAAGGCCCUCACUUCUGCCUGCUCUCUUCAGACGCCUAAAGGUAGGGAGUGCCAGGUCUGCUGCCAGGCUCCAAGGGUGGGUCUCUGAGGGGCUAGAAAAUGCCCCACCAAUCUGGCUAAGAUAAAGAAAGGAUAUGAAAAAAAAAGUUACAAAAAUUUGAAGGGUUAAGUUAAGUUGCUGAGAGUUAGUGUAAGUUACAGAGAAAGUAAGGUUAAAAAAAAAAGAGGUAAAAAGAACAGAAAGCUAGGGAAAAAAAGAGACAAAAAAAAGAAGUUAGAGAGCUAAAGAGAGAUAAAAGACAAGAGAGGAACAUAUACUGGCCACAGUAGUUAGGGAACCUAGGAAGAUAGUACCUGACAACAGAAGAGAAUUCCUGGCUAAAGAUCAGUGUGCCUAAUACGAAGAAAAAGGACAUUGGGUCAGGGACUGCCCCAGAAAGAACAAGAGGGGACACUGGAGAGCCUCUUGGUGCUGGCUAUGCACAGAGAUGGAAGGGAAGCCCGCCCAGUUGUUUUGUGGAUACAGGGACCCAAUGCUCUGUGCUCCUAUGCUCCAGUGGGCCAGUAUCCAAAGACCUUUGGUACAGGGGCCUACUGACAACAAACAAUACUUAUGGACUGCCCGAAGAACAGUGGACCUUGGCGUGGGCCGGGUAACCCACCCACUAAUUCAUGGUCAUCCCUGACUGCCCCCAUCCCUUGCUCAUGAGAAAAUUGCUCUCCAAAUUGGCUUGCGUGGGCUGAAAUGGCUGGAUGAGGCCAUGUGUAUACAUAUCUAUAGACUGUGUAUGUGGAGCUUAAGACCUGUCUCAGUACACCAGUAACUGAUGCUGGGAGUUGAAUGGCUUAGUGCUUUUCUGCCUGAAACACACCGUUCCUGCCAGCCGGGCACUAACAAUUAUCACCCAAUCCAGGACUUAAACUGUGAUAGAGUGGCUGAUAGAGUGUCCAAAGAUGGGACCACUGGUCAGCUGCCAUGGACUAGAUUCUCCACCGGUUGGGGACAAUCUGGUCACCUUGCUGCCCAAUCCGGACCUGGAGCCACCACAGCACGAGUGUCAAACACUGACAGAAGCACAUGGGUGGAGGAAAGACCUCUGCGACUGGCUGAUUGAUCCCUGCUGAAAGCCGAGGACCUUGUCCACAGACAGGAACAGUUCUCUUCAUGAAUGAAGGUCAGAGACAAGUGGGUGCUGCCAUGGUGGACAACACAAUGUCAUCUAGAAUGGCUGAACCUCUACCCCCCCAGCACAUCAGCGCCACAGAUGCCUUUGCCAUCUCUUGGAUGCCCUGAUGAAGCCAACAACUGUGAGUACUAUUCAUUGCCCAGGAAAACAGGAGGGAAGAGAUUCAGUGACAUGGGGCAGUGACAAAACAGAUAAAGUGGCUCGGGAAAUGGCUAUACAGGAGCCUAUCCUGGUUACAGGCCUGCAAGAGACAGCCACUGAGAACUAGGAUUAGACUAAGGGAUGGCCUCACUUAGAAAAGGCCCAAGUUGUUUAAAAGAUAAAAAGACAAUGACACACUUGAGGGGAAGGCUAUACUCCCCAGAAAACAAAGAAAAGACUCACUUUGCCAAAUACAGAAAUGGACUCAUUUAGGAGAUAAAAAGUUUGUCCAAGUAGUUAAGGUAUAUGUAAUAGACUUUAAGAUUUUAGCCAAGAGAGACAGUAAAAAAUAUAAGAUACGUCAGUAAACAAAUGCUUAACAAACAAACAAGACAAAGAGACCUAGAGAGUUUAAUAAAAAGUCAAAGUGAACUUCACUGAGAUAAAACCAGAAAAAUAUAAUCACAAGUAUCUCCUAGUGCUUGUAGAUACUUUUUCAGGAAUAGAUAGAAGCUUUCCUCACCAAACGAGAGACGGCCUCUACAAUCAUCAAGAAGAUACUGAAAGAAAUCUUCCCCAGGUCUGGAAUGCCCAAGGUAAUCUGGUCAGACAACGGUCCUACUUUCGUUGCCAAGAAAGAAGAAAUUAUGCCAAAAAGGAAAACCUGUCAUUUUUCAUGGAUCCUGGGUCCCCUUUGUCUCCUCCUUGACAAGCGUAGACUUAUUGUCCCAGCAAUCAACUAUUGAUUGAACACCAGCUAUGGUUCUUGCAAUCUCAGCUUCUAGGCCAGAGCUCAAUGAAUCACAGAUAUUUAAUAAUGUUAAACAAAGUGGUUGCAUGGGGCUUUACGCUUGACCACAUUUAACAUGAUAUGAGAUAUGAAAAUGUGGCGAAGGUGUCCUUUUUAGAUCCUAUAUGUUUGUGAAGCCAUCUAUUAAUGAGACAAAGAGCUUUUAAAGUAGAAAGUUUAUCCUGGAGGCAAAACUGUGUGUCAUUAUUCUUCGUGGAAGUCAUACAGCCAUGCAUCUAGCUGCCAAGAGAGUGUCUGAGAGUGUUCACUGCAAAAUGACACAAGGACACCCACUGAUAUCCACACCACAGUUCAUGCUGUGGAUCACUUUGCUUAGCAUAGACCAUUAAAGUAAGCCUGACGUAGAAGAUGUUGCACAGCCUUGGUGGCUGGUAACAGGUCUCCCUCACUGAAAGUUCCUCUAGCUAGCCCGUAGGUACUACAUCUUUAUUAUCAGGGGACCCAUCUGUGAAGUCUGGGCGCUGUACCCUCAAAAGUAUGAUAUGUGAUGGUUAAUAUGAAUUGUCAACUUGACAGUGUCUAAUCAUUGAAGAGACAUAUGGGCAUUGCUAGAAUAGGUUAACCAAGGCAGAAAGAUCCACCCCAAAUAUGAGUGAUGCUAGGCUGUGGAUGGAGGGCCUGGGAUGAAUAAAAAGGACGGCCACCAUUUUUCACUUUAUUUUCUGACUGUGGAUAUCACGUGAUCAACUGUCUCAAGCUCCUGACACCAUGAUGGACCGUACCUUCCAACUGGGAGCCGAAGUGAACCUCUCCUCCCUGGGGUUGUUCUUGCAGGUGUUUUGGCACAGUAACAAAUUCCCAGGAGCCAAGGACUCUGGGGCCAGGCACUCUGCUUUUGACAUGGGAUCACUCUUGAUGCUGUCGGGGAUUUGACUGGAGAUGCAAGGUCUGUUUCUAACAUCGAAUUCCGAAAUGUUGGAGCUGUGAUUUCUCCUGGUUCCACGGCACGGUACCAUGGAACGGAUGCAGAGAGAUAGAAGGCGCACUAUGGAUCAAUAAUUCUACCUCCUUGCUGGAGUGGGAAUCUCUCAGCCCAGAAACUGCAAAACGAUCAAAUGACCUCUUUUCCUGUCCCAUCCCCAAACAUGUACUGAUAGAUAUUACUUCUCAUUCCUUGAUGGCUGUGCCACCAGCCAGUGUGGGGCUCGGCAAAGGACUCAUGGUUGUAAUGCAUGGAGAAACAUGGACUUCUGAAAAGAUUGAUUUUUUAACCACAGAGGCAUAGUACAUGUGCUAAAUCAAACUGAAGGCGCUGGCUCCCCAUGAGGUCUUAGCUCAAAUAUUAAUCACCAGAGUGGUAAACAGUCUGAGCCCGGGCUACCGUGCUGACAGAAAGACCAGACAUAGGAGAGCCAGGCAGCAGUGAGGCUCAGGGAACAGAUGGCUCCUGACCCAGCACUGUGCCUAGCACUGUUUUCUUAAAAUAACUACUUCAUGAUAACCUCUUAUUCAAGUGAAAUGGAUUUCGUAGGUCUGUAACACAACUAGAUACGGAAUUUUAAAACUUAGCUAAAUAGUGUGCUUCAUGUAGAAAAUACAUACAGAGAAAAAUUUAGAUAAUUUAGGGAUUUUUAACUUAAUUUUUCACUUACAUUGUAUGUAUGUGAAUGCAUACACACAUGCCAUGGUGUGCAGGUCGGAGGAUAACUUGUAGGUCGGUUCUGAUUUUCGUCUUUCACCAUUGGGGUUCUAGGGACAGAACUAGACUGCCAGGCUCGCAGCAAGUAUUUCUUUCCAAUAAGCCAUCUUGCCCCAUUUCAGUGCAUAAGUGCUUGCUACACCUUCUCUCAAGAUGGAGUAAAUAACCAGAAUCCUAUAUAUAAUUAUUUUAAAUAUAUUGGUGUGCCAAUUAGUUUUUGUUAACAUAAAUUAGAAUCUAACAUAAACUAAGAAGAGAAAAACCUCCCCUGAGGAAUGGCCUCCUUAGUUUGGCCUGUGGGCGUGUCUGUGGGGUGUUUUGUUGAUUGAGGAAGGCUGUGUGAAGGCCCAGCUCACUGUGGGUGGGGCCAUCCAGGGCAGUUGAGCAGGCCAUGAGGAGCAAGACAGUGAGCAGCACUCCUCUAUGGCCUCUGCUUCAAUUCCUGCCUCCAGGUUCCUGCCCUCUAUAAGUUCCGGCCUUGGCUUUCCCCAAUGACAGACAAUGACCUGCAAGCCAAGUAAAACCAUUUCCUCCCUGAAUCGUUUUAAGUCAAUGUGUUUUAUCACAUGGGGGAAAAAAAAACUAAUACAACUGGGAUAUGAGAUGAA